rnacentral:lncRNA from 1 species
AUGUGCCCGCUUCCCACACGGGAAUGUCACACCGGCACGGGCAGGGCGCUUCCCGCAGCGAGCGGGGAACAGCAGCGGGCGCUGGGGGGGAAGCACAGAAAGCACAGGAAGGAGGGAAAAGAGACAAGAAAAGGAAGAGAAGGAAGGGAGGGAAAAGAGGGAGGGGAGGGAAGGGGCGGGCACGACGCCACGGGGACGGGCUCCGCCCGUGCGCGCAUUCGCGCCGCUCUUUUGGCUCUCGGGCCGCGCCGUAGCGCUCCCGGGAGAGAGCGGCAUUGUGCGGCCUCCGGCCCGCUCCGCGCAGGCGCCGUCCCGCAUUCCCCGCCUGGCGGACCCGGACCCGCCGCCGCCGCCGCCGCGUCCCCCCCCUCCCCUCCCGCGGCCGCGCUCCUCCCUCGCCGCGGAGGAGGCGGCGGCCGCCCCCCUUCCCCAUCCCCGUCCCCCGGUAAGUCACCGAGAGCGAGGCGGCGGCUCCUCUUCCGUCUCCUCCUCGUCUCCCGCACCGCCCGGGGCUCUCCCGCAGCGCCGUUGCCCGCGCGCGGCGCCGCCGCCGCCGCCUCCCCUCAGGCAGCGCGCGCGGAGCCCGCCCGCUCCCCCUCAGCCCCGGGCCCCUCCGCGCGCGCCCAGCGCGGCCCCCGCCCUCUCCCCCAACCCCCCCCCAACCGCGUGGGGACCCCUCACUUCACACCCCCCACUCCCCAAAUUCGGGGUUCGCACGGGGAGCUCCCCCCCAGCCCCACCCCCACAUUCCAGAGCGAGGGGAGGGCCGGGGGGCUGUUAUCGGUACCGCGUGCGUGCAGGCAGGGGAUGCGCUGGGAGCCCCCCGGGCAUGGAGCCCCCCGGCUCCGGGACCGAUGCUGCGAGGUUUGGCAGCGCGCUGCGUGCUCGCCCGAGUUCCCAGACGAGUUCCAGAUGAAAAGGAGCAGGAUCGGCGUUAGGAAAGUUUAUUUUCUUGUGGUGGCCCCCAGGUUGCCCGGGGAGGGCGUGGAGUGUCCCUGCGUGGAGAUGGUCAGGAACAGUCUGGAUGCGAUCCUGUGCCAUGUGCUCUGGGAUGAGCCUGCUGGAGCAGAUGAGCCGCUGUGCUCCCUUCCAGCCUGGCCCAUUCUGGGAUCUCCCCACACCGAGCACAGCCGGCAGGCAACUGGUAGCGCCCUGCUCUGCACCCUCUGGGAAGGAGAUGCUUGGAAUGCCAGUGGAUCCUGA